rnacentral:lncRNA from 1 species
CCUGCGACAAGAAUUUAGGGUGGAAGUCUGGCUUCCGUGGGAGCCCGGACGAAGUCUACCUGCAGUUGGAAUCGGGGAUGAAGUCUGGCUCCUGUAGGAGUCCGGGCGAAGUCUUCCUGCAGCCGAAGUCGGGGAUGAAGUCCGGCUCCCGUAGGAGUCCGGACGAAGUCUACCUGCAAUUGAAGUCGGGGAUGAAGUCUGACUCCCGUAGGAGCCCGGACGAAGUCUACCUACAGUUGAAGUCGGGGAUGAAGUCCGGCUCCCGUAG